rnacentral:rRNA from 1 species
AUUGAACGCUGGCGGCAGGCCUAACACAUGCAAGUCGAGCGGCAGCGGGAAAGUAGCUUGCUACUUUUGCCGGCGAGCGGCGGACGGGUGAGUAAUGCCUGGGAAAUUGCCCAGUCGAGGGGGAUAACAGUUGGAAACGACUGCUAAUACCGCAUACGCCCUACGGGGGAAAGCAGGGGACCUUCGGGCCUUGCGCGAUUGGAUAUGCCCAGGUGGGAUUAGCUAGUUGGUGAGGUAAUGGCUCACCAAGGCGACGAUCCCUAGCUGGUCUGGGAGAAUGAUAAGCAGCACUGGAACUGGGACACGGUCCAGACUCCUACGGGAGGCAGCAGUGGGGAAUAUUGCACAAGGGGGGAAACCCUGAUGCAGCCAUGCCGCGUGUGUGAAGAAGGCCUUCGGGUUGUAAAGCACUUUCAGCGAGGAGGAAAGGUUGAUGCCUAAUACGUAUCAACUGUGACGUUACUCGCAGAAGAAGCACCGGCUAACUCCGUGCCAGCAGCCGCAGUAACAC